AAAGACAAUUUGUUGGUGCCAUAGACAGUAGGUGUUGAUGUAAAUCCUACCGAGGACUUUAAUUAGUAUGAAAAGUUUCUUGGAUGUCUAUGUUUAAGAAACUUUUUUAUGGCAUCC
rfam:Mycoplasma sp. CAG:877 genomic scaffold, scf86